UACAGAGGUCCCAAGCGUUGUUCGGAUUCACUGGGCGUAAAGGGUGCGUAGGCGGUCGGGUAAGUCUGAUGUGAAAUCUCACAGCUUAACUGUGAAACUGCAUUGGAUACUAUCCGGCUCGAGGAAUGGAGGGGAGACUGGAAUACUUGGUGUAGCAGUGAAAUGCGUAGAUAUCAAGUGGACACCAGUGGCGAAGGCGAGUCUCUGGACAUUUCCUGACGCUGAGGCACGAAAGCCAGGGGAGCAAACGGG
rnacentral:rRNA from 1 species